rnacentral:rRNA from 1 species
GCACAUGCAAGUCGAACGAUGUCCAUUCUGGUGGACAACACCGAUGAAGACAGAGUGGCGAACGGGUGAGUAGCACGUGAGCAACCUGCCCCGAAGACCGGGACAACACCGGGAAACCGGUGCUAAUACCGGAUGCCCCCACCGGGCCGCAUGACCUGGUGAGGAAAUGGAUUCCGCUUCGGGAGGGGCUCGCGGCCUAUCAGCUAGUUGGUGGGGUAAUGGCCUACCAAGGCGUCGACGGGUAGCUGGUCUGAGAGGACGAUCAGCCACACUGGGACUGAGACACGGGCCAGACUCCUACGGGAGGCAGCAGUGAGGAAUCUUGCGCAAUGGACGAAAGUCUGACGCAGCGACGCCGCGUGGGGGAUGAAGGCCUUCGGGUCGUAAAGCUCUUUAGUUUGGGAAGAAGGUUAGUGGAGGAAAUGGCAUUUAUGUGACUGUACCGAAAGAAUAAGCACCCGGCAACUCUGUG